UACGGGAGUGGCAAGUGUUAUCCGGAAUCACUGGGCGUAAAGCGUCUGUAGGUGGUUUAGUAAGUCUAUUGUUAAAUCUUGAGGCUCAACUUCAAAUCAGCGAUGGGAACUGCUAGACUAGAGUGUGGUAGAGGUAAGGGAAUUUCCAGUGGAGCGGUGAAAUGCGUAGAUAUUGGAAAGAACACCGAUGGCGAAGGCAUCUUACUGGGCCAUAACUGACACUCAGAGACGAAAGCUAGGGUAGCAAAUGGGAUUAGAUACCCCAGUAGUCCUAGCAGUAAACGAUGGAUACUAGAUGUUGCCCGUUCACCGCAGUGUCAAAGCUAAUGCGUUAAGUAUCCCGCCUGGGAAGUAUGCACGCAAGUGUG
rnacentral:rRNA from 1 species